UUAUCGGAGAGUUUGAUCCUGGCUCAGGACGAACGCUGGCGGCGUGCCUAAUACAUGCAAGUCGAGCGGACAGAUGGGAGCUUGCUCCCUGAUGUUAGCGGCGGACGGGUGAGUAACACGUGGGUAACCUGCCUGUAAGACUGGGAUAACUCCGGGAAACCGGGGCUAAUACCGGAUGGUUGUCUGAACCGCAUGGUUCAGACAUAAAAGGUGGCUUCGGCUACCACUUACAGAUGGACCCGCGGCGCAUUAGCUAGUUGGUGAGGUAACGGCUCACCAAGGC
rnacentral:rRNA from 1 species